AUCACAAUCACAUUCUGAAAACUCAGAGUGCAGCAAAAAUGGGUUGAAUUGUAUCAUUUCCCAGUCUCAGUGAAAUCAUUAGAAUGUCAGUUCCUGUUGUAGACUAUGGGAGGACAUGCAAGAAUUAUUAAAAAAAUGCAGCAAGAGUUUUACUAUGUAGUCCCCUUAGUAAAGGUGCCUCUGCUUAUUCUCUGGGAAGAUCUUGUGUGCUGAAAUCUAGCCCAAGAGACUACAAUUCCCAUGAGCCCUGGAGGAAAGCAGGAAGGAAAUGACUCCGUUUGGAUCCUGGGUCUCUCCAUGUGUGUGAGGAGAGGCCCAGCAGUCUGUGGACUCUUUCCUCUGUUUUUGGAGCAGAAAGGGAGCCAGGCUGCUAUGGAGGAGUUUAAUCCAGUCCAGGAGCUGUUAGAGUACAGCUACAGACUUGGACUAAGAGCCUAUGGGACUGGAAUCUAGCAGGCUGCUUCUGAUUGCUCUUUGGCUGUACCUGUGGCUAGAAGCUCCUCUGCAUCCAGCACACAGAAGGAGACUAGAACCAUCCACUCCAGCUGCAAAAUCUUCAAGCGCGCCCAUGCAAGCAAGUGUAUGGUAUUGUGAGGUCUGAGUUACUGAUCUAUGUGGGAAGCUUUACUUUUACCCUACUUACUUUGCUUAAGAGCUUUGGUGAAGGACUAUAUGUCAAAGGUUUUCUGAAAGUCCAGGCACACUAUAUCCACUGGAUCACCCUUGUUCAUGUGUUUGUUGACUCCCUCAAAGAAUUCUAAUAGAUGGGUGAGGCAUGAUUUCCCUUUACAAAAGUGGUGUUGAUUCUUCAGCAUAUUUUGUUAAUUGAGGUGUCCACUAAUUCUGUUCUUUACUACAGUUUCAACCACCUUGCCUGGUACUGAAGUUUGGCUUACCAGCAAUUGCCUGGAUCACCUCUGAAGCCUUUUGAAAAAUUGGUGUCACAUCAGCUAUCCUCCAGUUAUCUGUUAAAGAGGCUGAUUAAAGCAUUCAGUUACAUACCAUGCCUGAGGAGAGGAAGCACAAAGUAUGAUCCUUCUCUGCUGCCAAGGACAGAAGAAAAGGUAUAUGAGCAAAAAGAACUGGCUUCCAGCAGUAUCCCACAAGGCCUGCCCUGAUGAUUCCACUCAGUGUUUUGAUCUCUGAUGCUCUGAAAGCAUGCACCUCUCCCUUUUCAAAGCUCCAGGAACUCUGACAGCUGAAUGAGCUACUCUGUUUGGGGAACAAAUGGAAAGCAAAUCAUUGGUGUGCUCCUGUUCUGCCCUGCACACAGCAGCAGGCCGAGUGCUGCUACAGAGGGAAGGGUACAGGCUACUAUGCUGUUUUGACAUCGCUCAACACAGAGAGCUCACAGAGCUACUCAUGAUGUUGCUCCCAGCAGCUCAAACAGUUGUGGGAGAAUUCAGAGAGAAUCCCAAGGUGUUGAGAGAUCAGCUGUGCUUCCCACAACACUGCACUACAGGAUGCCUACCCACAGUGCAUUGCUCACACUAUCAGUGAUGGUGUGCCCUUUGUGUAGACAUGAUAUGUCAACAGAGAGAACAAGUGUGAAUGCUCACUGGUGAUUUUUGUUUUGUUGACUUUUGGAUGUUGACAGAAGUUUGUCAACUCUACCAAGUUUUGUGGACAAAAGAUACAGGAGGAUAAAGAACUCCUAACAUAAUGCUUGGCUCAUCUCUCAUUUUUCUUUGUGUCCUUUGACCCACUGCUCUUCCAUACUCUGUGAAACACAAAUUAAAAUAAAUAAAGUAUUUUUUUAAAUUAAGGCAGUACAAUCCAUCUAUUGAACGACAUGUACUUCCCAUCAUUAAAGGUUAUGCCUACAUUGCACUUUCACCCAGAAAACUUUUGUCCGUCAGGAGUGUGGGAAUAAACAAAAAUGUUAUGGACAAAAAGUGCCAGUGUGGACAGUGCUUUUUCAGAGGGAGAAAUUACUGCCCUUCAUGGGGAGUAAAGGAAGGCUGUUGGCAGGGGAACUAUAGAAGGAAAAACCCAACCCUAUUUCUAGAAAAUCUUUCUUCACCAUUAAACAGUCAUUGUAAUGGCUAGCCAAAUAAUAAGAGUCUCAAUAAGAUUACAAUAAGAACUUAAUUUGCAAAAAUUACUGUAAAGAAAGCAAGUUAAUCAGUUCAUAUCCAAUCAAGAUUGCAAGUGAUCAC